rnacentral:rRNA from 1 species
UGCCUUAGUAGCGGCGAGUGAAGCGGCAAAAGCUCAAAUUUGAAAUCUGGCGCCUUCGGUGUCCGAGUUGUAAUUUGAAGAUUGUAACCUUGGGGUUGGCUCUUGUCUAUGUUUCUUGGAACAGGACGUCACAGAGGGUGAGAAUCCCGUGCGAUGAGAUGCCCAAUUCUAUGUAAGGUGCUUUCGAAGAGUCGAGUUGUUUGGGAAUGCAGCUCUAAGUGGGUGGUAAAUUCCAUCUAAAGCUAAAUAUUGGCGAGAGACCGAUAGCGAACAAGUACAGUGAUGGAAAGAUGAAAAGAACUUUGAAAAGAGAGUGAAAAAGUACGUGAAAUUGUUGAAAGGGAAGGGUUUGAGAUCAGACUCGAUAUUUUGUGAGCCUUGCCUUCGUGGCGGGGUGACCCGCAGCUUAUCGGGCCAGCAUCGGUUUGGGCGGUAGGAUAAUGGCGUAGGAAUGUGACUUUACUUCGGUGAAGUGUUAUAGCCUGCGUUGAUGCUGCCUGCCUAGACCGAGGACUGCGAUUUUAUCAAGGAUGCUG